CAUAGACUAGCAACCAUUCCCUGACGAUGAAGAACAUCAUGAGCCAGGAGCAAGUGCAUUUUGGUCAACUGUGAGCAGACAACUGUUAAUUAUCUGGGAAGGCAGUGAUUCCUGCUUGAAUGACGUACACCAGGAAGGACAGGUACUGCCUCAAUGCAGAAAGAGCUCAUCCAUCUCCAGACUAUACUUGAGGCACUUUUCUGUAAUGAAAAGAAGGAGCUUAAGUCUUUCCUAAGAAUGUCACUUCAUCCAGCAAGAACCGAAUGGUACAAGAGUAACAGAGAUCAAUCUUGAAUAUUUCUUCUGGAACUCCCCAACUCUGGCUGACGUUUCAAGAAAAGAAAGAGGAUUAUUCAUCACAUCUUCCCUAGAUAUUCAAUUUUCUGUUCACUUAUUGAUAAUGUGUUAUAAAGUUGCUGAAUGCGUAAGAGGUGAACAAAUGGAUGGAGAGAGCCACGAGGACGCACUUUAUAUAUUAAUUACAGCAGCUCAGAAGCACCGUGAAUAGCAAGAUGAAACUACUGACCUGGCCUAUGCACAACACUCCCAAGAGCACCUGUACAAACUCUCUGGCAUCAGGUGCUCACAAGAAGUCUGCUUAAACCUGCUGCAGUGCAACUGGACAUACAAGUUUUACCAGCUUGGAGUUUCUGACAAUAAUAAUGAUCUGCACUAGUACUGACUAUGAACUUGGCAGCUUUAAAACAAACUACAUCUUUUCAAGUGGGUCAUCUCAAAAUGACAAAGCCCACAAAUUCUACUAAGGGAAAGCUGAUGUUUCAGGAAGCUAGUAAAGAAAUGCCUCGUUCCAUAUUUGAAAACAAUUGCUUCCUCUGCUCUCCCUUUAGUGAUACUAAAGUUUCAGGGUUCUUUUAUUUUCCAAUAACUUGGUUUUAAAGUUUAGUUAGGAUUGUUUCCCACAGUUUUAACUAUCACAGUUGUGCCUUCAAGAAUUAUACACAGACUUUUAUAUCUUUGCUCAUUUCCUUAAGUUACCAACAAAAACAUGAAUAGGCAAAUUAAGUUCUUUAUUUUUUUCCCCAAGAACAGAGAAACAUACACCAUGUAAUUUUAAUUCAAAAAAAAAAAAAAAUGGAUGACUUUCUAAGAACCACUAUUUUUACAGAAUGUUCAAGUGAACUAAGUAAAAGAAUUGGUCCUGCAUUUCAUGUGUGAAAAAUGUAUUUAUAAGAAAAUAAUGGAAACAGUCAUUAAAGGCAUAUUAUUGCU
ensembl:lncRNA